rnacentral:piRNA from 1 species
UGGCUGCUUAAUGUUUUUGUUCAUU